GAAUGAAAAACUGUCCUUAUAAAUGUAUAGAUGGAUUUCUUUUUCUCUGGCUGACGCUGAGCAAGAUCAAGGAAAAGAAGUGGCGAUAUCAGCAGGGAUAUGGCUGCUUUAUUCUGAGGUUAUAUAACAGCAAGAAGCUGGAUCCAGACCAUUGAUGAAAAUCAGUUUCCUUGCCUUUUGAUAUGUGACUCAAAUCCCAAGUUAUAAAAAGGAUGUAGGAUCAUAAUAUAGUUUUUUUUUUAAACAUGAACAGUUAUUCUGAACAAAUUGAAGAGUAUCAAGGGAGGAAAGGUAUCAUUUCGAAGUUACCUCAUAGGUGAGACAAUCUUUUUAACUUUAACAGUGUCUCCAUUAUAAAACAGAAAUUGGUAUGCUUUUCUAAAUGUUGGCAUACUAUAACAUCCUUUAUAAAUCAAUUUAAGUUCACAUCAUUGAGAUUUUCAAAACCUUCUUCCACUAUUUACUCACAGAAAAGAUACCAAAAAAAGAAUAAAAUAUUUUCAAAUAUAAUUUUAAAGUAUCAAAAACUUCCCAAAUUUAAAAAAAAAAAAAACACUUCUAGGAUAAUUCAUGAUAUUUCAUUUACUUCUCUUGUUUCCUAUUAAUCUUAUGAAGGCAAAAGGGAAGGCUCCAAUAAUUAACCUUGUGUUAUUGACCUAACCAAAAUUAACUGGCUAUACAACAAUUUAGUUGUCCAUAUAAAAACAGGAAGAGAGAUUUCCCCAAGUAACCCAUAUUCUCCAUGAGAAAAACAGCUGGUGCUCUCUCUGUGUGUGUGUGUGUGUGUGUGUGUGUGUGUGUGUGUGUGUGUGUAAGCCUGUGGGGCAUGGAUGAAAGGAUGUAUAUUUCUGAUAUCCUCCCUUGUAAAUGGGUGGGUUUUUUUUUGC
rnacentral:lncRNA from 1 species